rnacentral:snRNA from 1 species
GUGCUCGCUUCGGCAGCACACAUACACAAACUGGAACAAUAAAGAGACGAUUAGCACGGCCCCUGCGCAAGGAUGACACGCAAAUGCGUGAAGCGUUCCAUAGUUGU